UAAAGAGAGGGGUUUGGGCCCUAAGGAGAAGGGUUUCGGGCCUAUAGACAAAGGUUUGGGCCCUAAAGAGAAGUGUUUGGGCCCUAAAGAGAAGGGUUUGGGGCCUAAAGAGAGGGGUUUGGGGCCUAAAGAGAAGGGUUUGGGGCCUAAAGAGAGGGGUUUGGGGCCUAAAGAGAGGGGUUUGGGCCCUAAAGAGAAGGGUUUGGGCCCUAAAGAGAAGGGUUUGGGCCCUAAAGAGAGGGGUUUGGGCCCUAAAUAGGGGUUUGGGGCCUAAAGAGAAGGGUUUGGGCCCUAAAUAGGGGUUUGGGCCCUAAAGAGAGGGGUUUGGGCCCUAAAGAGAAGGGGUUUGGGUCAUAAAGAGAGGGGUUUGGGCCCUAAAGAGAGGGGUUUGGGCCCUAAAGAGAAGGGGUUUGGGCCCUAAAGAGAGGGGUUUGGGCCCUAAGAGAGGGGUUUGGGCCCUAAAGAGAAGGGUUUGAGGCCUAAAGAGAAGGGUUUGAGGCCUAAAGAGAAGGGUUUGAGGCCUAAAGAGGAGGGUUUGGGGCCUAAAGAGAGGGGUUUGGUCCCUAAAGAGAAGGGUUUGGGUCAUAAAGAGAGGGGUUUGGGCCCUAAAGAGAAGGGUUUGGGGCCUAAAGAGAGGGGUUUGGGCCCAUAAAGAGAGGGCUUUGGGGCCUAAAGAGAGGGCUUUGGGGCCUAAAGAGAAGGGAUUGGGCCCUAAAGAGGAGGGUUUCGGGCCUAAAGAGAGGGGUUUGGGCCCUAAAGAGAAGGGUUUGGGCCCUAAAUAGGGGUUUGGGGCCUAAAGAGAAGGGAUUGGGACCUAAAGAGAAGGGAUUGGGCCCUAAAGAGAGGGGUUUGGGCCCUAAAGAGAAGGGUUUGAGGCCUAAAGAGAAGGGUUUGGGGCCUAAAGAGGAGGGUUUGGGGCCUAAAGAGAGGGGUUUGGGGCCUAAAGAGAAGGGUUUGGGUCAUAAAGAGGAGGGUUUGGGCCCUAAAGAGAGGGGUUUGGGCCCUAAAGAGAAGGGUUUGGACGCUAAAGAGAGGGGUUUGGGCCCUAAAGAGGAGGGUUUGGGGCCUAAAGAGAGGGGUUUGGGCCCAUAAAGAGAGGGGUUUGGGGCCUAAAGAGAAGGGUUUGGGGCCUAAAGAGAAGGGUUUGGGCCCUAAAGAGAGGGGUUUGGGCCCUAAAGAGAGGGGUUUGGGCCCUAAAGAGAAGGGUUUGGGGCCUAAAGAGAAGGGUUUGGGGCGUAAAGAGAGGGGUCUGUGCCCUAAAGAGAAGGGUUUGGGGCCCAAAAAGACGGGUUUGGGCCCCAAAAGAGAAGGGUUUGGGCCCUAAAGAGAGGGGUUUGGGCCCUAAAGAGAAGGGUUUGGGCCCUAAAGAGAAGGGAUUGGGCCCUAAAGAGAAGGGUUUGAGGCCUAAAGAGAAGGGAUUGGGACCUAAAGAGAAGGGAUUGGGCCCUAAAGAGGAGGGUUUGGGCCCUAAAGAGAGGGGUUUGAGGCCUAAAGAGAAGGGUUUGGGGCCUAAAGAGAAGGGUUUGGACCCUAA